AACGGUUGAGUACACGUGGGUAUCUUCCUCUGAGUCUGGGAUAACUUUCCGAAAGGGAAGCUAAUACUGGAUGGUCCCGAGAGAUCAUAAGAUUUUUCGGGUAAAGAUUUAUUGCUCGGAGAUGAGCCCGCGUCCGAUUAGCUAGUUGGUGAGGUAAAGGUUCACCAAGGCCACGAUCGGUAGCCGGCCUGAUAGGGUGUUCGGGCUAAUGGAACUGAGACACGGUACAUA
rnacentral:rRNA from 1 species